rnacentral:rRNA from 1 species
GACGAACGCUGGCGGCGUGCUUAACACAUGCAAGUCGAACGGAAAGGCCCUGCUUUUGUGGGGUGCUCGAGUGGCGAACGGGUGAGUAACACGUGAGUAACCUGCCCUUGACUUUGGGAUAACUUCAGGAAACUGGGGCUAAUACCGGAUAGGAGCUCCUGCUGCAUGGUGGGGGUUGGAAAGUUUCGGCGGUUGGGGAUGGACUCGCGGCUUAUCAGCUUGUUGGUGGGGUAGUGGCUUACCAAGGCUUUGACGGGUAGCCGGCCUGAGAGGGUGACCGGCCACAUUGGGACUAAGAUACGGCCCAGACUCCUACGGGAGGAAGCAGUGGAGAAUAUUGCACAAUGGGCGGAAGCCUGAUGCAGCAACGCAGCGUGCGGGAUGACGGCCUACGGGUUGUAAACCGCUUUCGCCUGUGACGAAGCGUGAGUGACGGUAAUGGGUAAAGAAGCACAGGCUAACUACGUG